rnacentral:rRNA from 1 species
AUUGAACGCUGGCGGAAUGCUUUACACAUGCAAGUCGAACGAUGAACCUUAGCUUGCUAAGGGGAUUAGUGGCGAACGGGUGAGUAAUAUAUCGGAACGUGCCUUGUAAUGGGGGAUAACUAGUCGAAAGAUUAGCUAAUACCGCAUACGCCCUGAGGGGGAAAGUAGGGGAUCUUCGGACCUUACGUUAUAAGAGCGGCCGAUAUCUGAUUAGCUAGUUGGUGGGGUAAUGGCCUACCAAGGCGACGAUCAGUAGCUGGUCUGAGAGGACGACCAGCCACACUGGAACUGAGACGCGGUCCAGACUCCUACGGGAGGCAGCAGUGGGGAAUUUUGGACAAUGGGCGCAAGCCUGAUCCAGCCAUUCCGCGUGAGUGAAGAAGGCCUUCGGGUUGUAAAGCUCUUUCGCAAGGGAAGAAAACUUACCAUCGAAUAAAUGGUGAGGCUGACGGUACCUUGAUAAGAAGCACCGGCUAACUACGUG